AUUGAACGCUGGCGGCAUGCCUUACACAUGCAAGUCGAACGGCAGCACGGGGGCAAUCCUGGUGGCGAGUGGCGAACGGGUGAGUAAAGUAUCGGAACGUGCCCAGUCGUGGGGGAUAACGUAGCGAAAGUUACGCUAAUACCGCAUACGAUCUAUGGAUGAAAGCGGGGGAUCGCAAGACCUCGCGCGAUUGGAGCGGCCGAUAUCAGAUUAGGUAGUUGGUGGGGUAAAGGCUCACCAAGCCGACGAUCUGUAGCUGGUCUGAGAGGACGACCAGCCACACUGGGACGGAGACACGGCCCAGACUCCUACGGGAGGCAGCAGUGGGGAAUUUUGGACAAUGGGCGAAAGCCUGAUUCAGCCAUGCCGCGUGCAGGAUGAAGGCCUUCGGGUUGUAAACUGCUUUUGUACGGAACGAAAAGGUUUGGCCUAAUAAGCUGAGCUCAUGACGGUACCGUAAGAAUAAGCACCGGCUAACUACGUGCCAGCAGCCGCAGUAA
rnacentral:rRNA from 1 species